CACCAGUAAGGUUUUCUGAAGCUUUCUUUCCACCAGGGAAGACUGCAAAGGCCAGAGAUCAUUUUCACAACUAAAGGUCGUCAUCUGGGCAAAUGAACCACUCUGACUUGGAGAUUAGGGGCUCAGACAGCCGUGGAUGAGAGUCCAGCUCUACUACUUAUUAGCCUUGAUUAGCCCACAGUGACUUUCCAAAACUUUGACCCCUCUGCCAGGACCUUCUCGACAUCCACCUCUAAUUCUCAGAAGGAGACCUUACUUCCUACAUCUGUGAGAAAACUGAGGACUGCACAUGUGAACCACCUUAACCUUCUGCCCCACCCCCCCCCAUUCAUUCCUUGACUCAUUUAACAAAUAUUUUUUCAACACCUGUUAUGUAACAAGCUCUAUGCGAGGUGCUGGGGAUGAAAUAAAUAACAAACACGCUCUACAUUCAUGAGGCUUACUGUCUGGUGAUGGAUAAAGCUGUAUAAAGAUGACUAAUAAGAGGUCUAACUAUCUUCAUGCUGCAAAACAACCCAAACUACUGCAUGCUCCAGUUGACUGUCACUGCCGAGACCAGCUUCUGAGUAAUUUCAGCCCAGGCAUCAGACUAGUGAGGGAAGGAGCUUCCAGGUGAUACCACCUCCCAGCCAUACUGUGAGAGGGAUGGGAAAGACUGGUGCUUGGGGUGGCCAUCUGACCCCUGAUGGACAGGAGACCAGGACAAGCCCACUGGAUGAGCCGGAGGGGUCCAGGAGGAGGGAGUUGAGAGCUCCUGCUAGGGUUGACACAUUCUGGUAAGGAGUUCAUCUGCUGUCCACCAGGUAGGUGGUGUGCAAAUACAACUAAGCAUUCAUGUUUAAGGUUUUUUUUUAAUUUUUUAUUUUUCGAGGCAGAGUCUCCAUUGCCCAGGCUGGAGUGCAAUGGCGCCAUCUCGGCUCACUACAACCCCUGCCUCCCAGAUUAAAGUGCUUAUCCUCCCUCAGCCUCCUGAGUAGCUGGAAUUACAGUCGUGCCUCCACGCCCAGCUAAUUUUUGUAUUUUUAGUAGAGACGGGGUUUCACCAUGUUGGCCAGGCUGGUCUCAAACUCCUGACCUCAGGUGAUUCACCCGCCUUGGCCUCCCAAAGUGCUGGGAUUACAGGCAUGAACCACUGCGCCCGGACUUAUGUUUAAGGUUAUUUAAAAAGCAAAGCAAAAUCCUAACCAUGUUGAAUUUUUGAAUCUGCAGCAGAUUCAAAUUAAUGAAUUUAAAUCAUAUAUCAGGUAAAAUACUACCUUGACAUAUUUUGUGAUCAUACUGAGAGAAAAUUAAUAUAAAGCUAAUUCAAAAUUUUUUAAUUUGUAAAUCAAAAGAUUAAACCUUGUUAAAAUUUACAAAGAAUAUGCCACUAUAAGAAGAAGUAGCUCAACUUUAUUUCAGUAAAAUCACCAACAAAACAAUAAAAAGCCAAAACUAAAAA
rnacentral:lncRNA from 1 species